UCGGCACUUUUUAUUGUUUCUUUGACAUGUUAUGAAUAUAGGCAUUCAUAAACACUGAUAAAGUGAUAAAGGAAGAACUUUAUAAUCAGAUUUGGUAAAGGUGGCGUUAAUCUAUACCAAGCCGAGAACUGAUUUUGUUGAAAAUAUCCCAACAUUACAAAAAUGUUUGUUUGUGUGCCUGAUCAAUUUAUUAUAUAUGGAACACAUUAUUGGAAAGAAUAAACAAAAUGUCAAAAAAAUUGAACAAAGGUGAAUCAGGUUCUAACAUAAGUGGUUCUCCAACAGCCUGCAAACAGGCACAGAAAGACAUAUUGAAAAGUGUUAAUGACUUUCAGGAUCUCAAAAACUAUAAAAAAGAGGUUUCUAUCGAGCGAAAGUAUGUUGGUGUAGUCAUUGGUAAACGUCACACAGUGAUCAACAGCAUCAUGGCACACUCUGAAACUCAAAUCAUUGUUCC